CUGGCUUCCCCCUUGACUUUGCUGGUCAGAAGGUCACCAAAGGUGAUCAUAUGAUCCAGGGACCCUGCAAUUGUCGUAAGUACGAACCAGUUGCCAAGCACCCAUAUUUUGAUCAGGGGAUCAUUGGGACGCUGAUACGGUCAUAAGUGUGGG